CUUAUAGGUCCACUCCGCUCUACGGCUGUAUUUGGCUUUGGAAUAAAGCAUUAGUGCUCAAAUAGUCUUAUUACCGCCAAAAGGAAUUUCCUUAUCGCUGAACCAAGCGCAGCCUAAACUGAUAACUCACCGGCAUUAUGAACCACAACAAUAGUUUUCGGUUGUAGUACUUUUUAUUCUCCUGUUCCAGUAAUAUCUUGGGAUGGGAAAUUCGUUAUGCACCAUCGGCGGC
rnacentral:lncRNA from 1 species